CUAAGGGGCCGAAGCGAGGCCGGGCAGAGCAGCGCCGCCGCCGUCGGGCGCGCAGCUCUGCAGCGCCGCGAACGCCUCUGUGUCCGCAGCCCCCGGAGCCCCGCGGCCCCGCAUUGUCCCUGUACCCCUGGCGGAGAUCCGGGACGAACGUCGCGGAUUGAUGGCUAUUUUCCAGAUGUUAACAUUAUCAGAAGCCUGACCUCCACAUGAUGACAUCAUCCUUCUACUUGCCUGGAAAUACAAUUCAACAUGGGUGGGUUCACAUUUAAUAAUGGUGACAUUUUACUGGGCAGAUAACUGACUGUUAGUAAUCUCCAGAUUCAGCAUUUGAGUCCUGAUUUGCUAUACCCUCUUCCUCAGAUAGUAUAAAGCUUUCUCUUCCACCAGUGUGCUGUGUGGUUUGUUUUCGCCUUUGUAUGAUGAAGAAUUCUCCAUCCUUUCAAUGAAUGUCUCAUGCUAAGGGUUUUCAAAAUAAGUAGACUUGCAUUUUUUUCUCCUAAAUGGAACUCAGCUAAUUUUAUCGAAACUAUUCCUUUUGUCUUUUGUCUAUAUUGUAUGCUACAUUAUUAUGGAUGGCUUUGGAAUUCUUCGUGUAAAAGAAAAAGCUGAAAUACAGUUAAAAUAUACAGGACUUUUUUUUUUCUUAAUUGCAUCUUAAUGUACUAAAAACUAGAGUGUGAUUAUUAAAAAUGAGAGAAGGAAAGAAUUAAAACAACAAAAUUGCUUAGAAAAGCUCCUGUUUCAUAAUGCAUUCGGAAAUAAUUGGUAUCAUAAUGUGUAAUUCACAAUCUUUCUUUGAAGUAUGAAGCUUAAGCUUGGGUGGGCAGGGGACCUCUUAGGACGUGGUGAUGUCUGAAUUAGUUCCUACAUAGCACUUCUGAAUCUGUACACAGAUUGUAGCAUCUUGCUACCUGCCUUGUUGUGGUUUUUUUUGUUUUUUUUUGUGAUAGAGAGAGGUACUUCCUAGAGGAAGGGCUAGGACAGAGGGUCCUCUAAUGUUUUACCAGACACCUACUACUGCCCUGUUGAUUAGGGAAGGGAGGAGAAGAGAAACUCCUUAAUAUAGGCUGUGGCUUUAGCUCAGGCCACAGGGUAGUUUCCUGGGCAGUUGAUGUAGACCAGGUAGAGGACCUUUUUGCCCAGGUGUCAGGUAAGCCUGGGGCUUAUGCUUCAAACAGGCUGAGAAGCCUCCUUGGCUUAUUUUCUAGACUCAUCCCCUCAUCUGGCCCUGAGGAUCUUAUUGCUGAGAUGGCUAGAGUUGAUGAAUCCAAGAAGAAGCACCAUCAGGAAAAAGAGGGAAAGGGAUUGGACUCCCAGGCUUGGAGUCUGAGCCUCAGUUUGCCUAUGGCCCGGGCAUUUGUCUCCCCGAGCAUUGGGAGACAAGAACACACAAGGAAUCAAAUAAGGAGAGAACAUUCCAGGCAGACCUGAGCUUUUAUUCACUACUCCUUUGGAUCAAGCGUUCCUUGCCCAGGACCCACCAUAUCCAGGCUCCUUCUCAGAGCAGUGGUGGUGCUGGUGGUGCUGGUGAUGGGGGUGCUGGUGAU